rnacentral:siRNA from 1 species
UCCCGCAACCGCAACCGCACCC